rnacentral:lncRNA from 1 species
UCUGUAUAGUUUGAGAAAACCCAAAAAGAUUUUCUUUUUCUUCUUUUGUUUGUUGGGAGCUUUCCUGUGUAGAUAAUUUUCUUUUUCUUUGGGUCAAGGUAGAAGAUAUUGGUUACAAUGUUUAAGUGGCUCUCGCAUGCAUACCUGUUUAGCUUUCAAAGAGCCAUAUUACUUUGUCUUCUCCUUUGUGUUUGCCUGCAGAUUCCAGCUUUAGCCA